AUGGAAAGGAUGUCUCUCUCCUAUUUUAAGGAGAUUUUCACGAUGGACCCAACCCUCUCCCCUGUUGCGGUCCUUGAAUGUAUCACGCCUAUGGUCACUGCGGAGAUAAAUGAGUCGUUAUGUAAACCUUACACUGAGGAGGAGAUUUCAAAUGCCCUCUUCCAGAUCAGACCAAUGAAGGCUCCGGGCUAUGAUGGGUUUCCAGCUAGGUUUUAUCAACGGAAUUGGGUGCUGCUAAAAGUUGAAGUUAUUGCGGCAGUGCAGGAAUUCUUUUCUUCGGGUGUUAUGCCUUAUGGGGUCAAUAAAACAAUGAUUGUAUUAAUCCCUAAAGUCCCUCAUCCCAAGGAGCUUAAGGAUUUCCGUCCAAUCAGCUUGUGUAAUUUCAUAUACAAAAUUGUUUCUAAGUGCUUGGUGAAUACACUUCCGCCCCUCCUCACCGAGCCCAUUUCUGAGAAUGAAAGUGCAUUCAUUCCGGGGAGGCUUAUUUCUGAUAAUUCAAUCAUUGCUUUUGAAUGCAUCCACCAAAUACAGCCAGUCAAGAAUAACUCUCCAGCCUUAUGUGCGUACAAGCUUGAUUUAUCUAAGGCUUAUGUGCGUACAAGCUUGAUUUAUCUAAGGCUUAUGAUCGCAUGGACUGGGAGUUUUUAG
rnacentral:rRNA from 1 species